GCACCGCCCGCCCGCCCCAGGGCCGGGAGCGCUCCCGACCGGUGCCGAGCGGGCUGCACCGGGAGGCGGUGAGAAUUCCAGAGGUGAUGGGGACUGGAGUAGCAGGAUGAGAGAGCAAACAGGCCAGGGCAGCUCUGAGGCACGUCCAAUCCUUCAAACUCAGAACCGGCCCGGAGCUGCGACCCACUGUCCGCGCGCUUUUCCUUGUGUUAAGGAGCUGGUGGCUCCCGGGAGGCUGAAGAUGAAGCUUUUUCCUACGGUUAUUUGUACCAGCAAAACACUGUUGCAAAUGCAAAAUGAGCUUCUGUGGUAUCUGUCACCAGAAAAUUGCCCCGUUUGAGAAUUCAUGAGCAACGGGCCAGCAUGCAUGCUGAGAAGAUAAGGAUCAACAGAUUAUUCCAACAGGAUAUGUCAGCCAGUCUAAAACAUGCAAUGGAUGAAAUUACCUUCACAACAGAAGACAAGGAAGAAAAAUAUCCAUUGCUGUGGACCUCAAAGAAAGUGAAGUAUACACAAAAGUAAACACACCCAGGGCAUGCUGGGGAAAGCAGAGACAUCACAUAAGGGUGUGCAUUUCUUCAGGGCUACAGGAUCAAACCUGAGAAUCAUGGUAAUUUAUCUUCCUGGCCAGUACAUGACCCCACUGCAAUACACAGACUCGGUAUCAUGAUCCUCACAUAGUGCAUAAUUUCUGGCUGAAAUAAAGUGCAUCCUUAAAAAAAGAUCUAGUCUUUUUUAGCCCAAGAGACAAAAAUGGUGGCACAGAGUCAAAUCAUAAGCACACCUGACUGAUUUACCCUCUCCCUGACAGUGGCCAACACUGUCUGCCUAGAAAAAAAUCACUAAAACAGGGUAGACAAAGAGUGCUCCCUCCCUGGCAGCUCUCCUAACACUUACAGAUUUGUAAUUGAGAGACCUGCUGUGCCAGAGGUUUUGGCUUUGUAUUUUAACAGCCUUUGAUAGAUUUCUCUUUUGCAAAUUUCAUCCACUGUAUAGUGACAGUCAUGAAAUUUAAGACCAUGAAGGACUUACUCUACCCACUUACAUUUGACAACUAAUUUCACACUUGCCUCCAAUGAUCUCUGUUACACAAACCAAGUAAAUUGUAGCACAUGGGAAAAGUUACCACUGUAAUUCCACUAGCUACUCACUUUCAGCACUGAAAGCAUGUGCCUGUUUUCCUUUGGAAUUAAAUCUGCUGCAGUCAUGCCUUACAACUAAGGCAUUUAGUUGUCCAUGCCUGGACAACUAAAAACUGCUUUAGCAUCCAGUGUUUUCACUUGGUACACGUACUCACACACCCUAAUCAGAUCACUCACAACUUUCUAAGGGUUCAUAGAACCAUAGGAAGGUUUGGGUUGGGAGGGACUUUUAAAGGCCAUCUAGUCCCACCCCACUAUAGACAAGGACAUUUCCAACUCAUAAUAAUGUCACUCCAAGUCCCGUUCAACCUCGCCUCAGAGACCUCCAUGGAUGAGGUUCUUUGGGCAACCUCUGCCAGUGCUUUCCAGCCUCAUUUUAAAAAUGGUCUUUCAUCUAGUCUGCAUCUACCCUCUUUUAGUUUAAAACUGUUAAACCUGUUUAAAUUACUUUAAACCCAGUUUAAAGUCAUUACCCCUUGUCUUACAAGAGUUCUGCAUCUCGCAUUGUAAAAUACUUCUUACAAUCUUGAGGUAAGUUUUGUGAACCUCAAACGUUCUUCUUUGUUCCCUAGAAGCCUUAGAAAUAGGCUGUGUGCUAUGCCACCAGGGCCCUUCUUGCUGUCUGACAUCAACAGCAUCUGCUUCCCCCAGACUGUCUACCUGUAAAGAUUUGUUAUAUCAUGUCUAAAUCUGUACUUUAUAGGGCUGGGACAGAGCUGGGAUAUUAGUGUCUGAAACAGUGACUCCAAGAAAAAUGAAGCUGCUUGCACUUUAAUGCAGUCAAUUUCCUUACAGACUUACCUUUUUUUAACAUGCAGUCCACUCUGGAGGAGUAAUACACCAUCUUCCCCAAAUGUAAGUUUGCAUUUGACAAAAUGUUCUAAGACAAAAGUCUCUAUGAAGGGCCUUACUCUGCUACACACUCUUCUUCACUAUUAUCCUCUCUUCAUGACUUUUUUGCAUAUUUUUACAUAUCUGAUUUUAUUUGUAGAGAUCUUAUAUUUGUUUCCAAAUAAUCAAUUAAGUGUCAAACAACACUGGCUGGAGAACUGUCCCUCAGAGAAAAACCAGAAUCCCCAGCUUAUGGAUUGGGCAGUUUGCUGGCAGUAUUUCCUGCCUUUCCUUUCCCACAGAGCUGGAUUGUAAAAAUAAAAGAAGAACCAGCUUUCCUCAGCCUUCUCCCAAGAUACAAGAGGCUCUUAAGAAUUUUAAGUUCUGUGUAGCAUUGUAUCAUCAUCUGACAUACCCUGAAACAAGCAGGGACUUGCCAACAGCAUUCCUGGCUUUUGGGUUACAUCCAUCACAUCUCACUAUCCUGUUGCCCAUGAUUCUCUUUCUUCUCUAAUGAGGACUCACUAAUGAUUCUUGCUUGCCCUAUGUAAUUUCAAACCCUUUCCUUUAGCAGAUUGUUUUACAUCCCAGACAUCCUCACCUGUCACAUCCUCUACAGCUCUCAGUGAGCAAUUCCUGCAUCUCUCCCAGCUUAAUGCUCAGGUUGGUGCAUGACACCAGCUGUGUCCCUGUGCAGAUCUGCUGCUUGCUUAGCUUCUUACAGCACCCAGUGUCCUCUGCCAGUGCUUCCAGAUGUGUAAUGUAGAACAAUGAUCCAAGGAAUUCUCCUUGGAUAUUACACUGUACUGAAACCUGCAAUUGCAAGCUCUGUAUCCUUGCUGACACUGGGAAGUUCUUUUUCAUGCACCAGAAUCUCUUUUGCAUUCAAGAUGAGCACACCAUCCCCAAGGUGAGCAGCACUGGAGUUUUCACUCUGUCCAUCUCUGCCGUGGGACGUGAUCCCACCUGGCAGUGGCUGCAUCCCAAGGAGAUGUUAACCUGAGGACACGUAGGCCUGUGCUGCUCACAGAGCAACCGUCAGACCUGGCUUUGCUGCACAAACCCCUCGCCCACCAGACAGUCUCAGCCAGUUCAUCAUACAGAAAUGCCCGUGGGCAGCUCUUGGUCAUGCCCAGCCAUUCUGCCACUCACGUGGCCUGGCUUUUGUCUAACAGUGAGGCAAGAAAUUCUCAUUCAAGCAUCCUUUCUGUGUGACAGCAGGAAUGAGGAACAGAGUCGUUUUCUUGCACUCUUAUAAUGGCUCUAAUUGCAAAAAAGGGAGAACCAGCUCCACAGGUGGGGUCUGCAGAGCACAUUGGGGGUGGAUCAGAGGCCCACUUGGGGCUCCCCACAUCUAAAGGGUAUGAAAUGAUGUACACUAUUCUUUUGUGUUUGCUCCAACACAUUAUAUUUUAAAUAGCAUACUACACAGCCCAAGUCCCUUUCCUACUUGGAUUGUAAUGGAUCAGGACCUCCUCAUGCAGAACAACCCUCGUAAUAAUAAAAGGUUUCCCAGGUAAUUGCCUUUCUCCUCAUUCUCUGAAUGUGUGCUUAGAAGCUGCAUAUAGGCAAAGCUUUAUAAAAUAAGGGCCUUGUUAACCUUGUAAAAUCAUGGCUCAGACCUGCUACUUUGGCUAAGUAGAAGAGGACUGUGGGAAAGUGACUCAUCUGAAUUGGAGGUAGAAAAACAAGUUAUAUAACCAUUACGUGCUCACAUUGUGGUGAAUGCUGGUUAGCUGAAUUACAUUUGCUACGCUAAAAUGGAAUGUAACUGAUAACAGCCCAACUACUUAAAAAGGCCUGGUUUUUGCAAUAAAGGGCUCUCCUUUGCACCUGCCUGGGGACCCUGCAUUGCUCUGCUUCAUUCACUUAGCAACAAGCACACAUCCCCAUAAGGCACUGCAAACAUCUGUGAUCUUCCCAUGUAAAUGUAACUGAGACAUGCCUUACUUAAAUAAGGAAAUCUGAAAUUUCCAUCCAAUUUGAACCAAUGUUCUUGACUUUGAAUACUUCUUUCAAGCUUUUCUAAUUUUUCAGCAUGUCUUUUAUUGCCCACACCAGACAUUCACCUUGCUCACCUCAUGAGAUGAGGGUAGCAAAUACCUCUCUCCUUCAGCAGUGACCCUGCAGCGAUGAACAGGGUCAGUCACGCUUGCCAGCUUAUCACAUAAAUUCACAAGCUCACAUCAGGGCUUUGAUUCCUGGGAUGUUGCUGGAGAAAUGAUGCUGGAAAGCUGAAAAAGCAAAAGGAUUAGUGGGGUCCUGGUGGAUACCUAGCUAAACAUAAACCAGCAGCACUCCCUUGGAACAAAGGUGGCAAACAGCAUCCUGGGCCACAGCAGCAGGCCUGUGGCCAGCAGGUCAAGGACAAUGACCUGUCUCCUCAGCACAAGUGAGACAUGCCAGGAGUGCUGUGUCCAGUCUGGGCUUCCCAAUACAAAACAGACACAGACACACUGGAGUUAGUCCAGUAAAGGGAUGUGGAAAUGUUAAGUAAUGGGACCUGGGACCGUUUUGUCUGGAGAACAGGCUCAGGACAGUGUCAUCUGUGCAUGUGUCAGUAAUGGGAAAGUGUAAGGAAGACAAACAGCUGCUGCUCAGUGGCGUCCUGUGAUGCUGAGAGAAGCAAUGGGCACAAAUUAAAAUGCAAAACAUUUCAUUUAUACAGGAGAAAGAAGUUUUGAACUGUAACUGUUACUAUCCACUCUACUGCUGGGAGUCUCCAUCCCCAAGAUAUUUAAACUGGAACCACUCUGCACCUCUGAAGAGCCAAAACCACCAAAGUGAAAGCAGUUGAAUAGCUUUGUCUAGCUAACCCAGACAAGCUGUGUUUAUGCCUCUUGAAAAAGUGAAAUGCAUAAACACACAGAAGGGUACAGCAACAGCCCUGAGAAUAGCACAGUCAA